rnacentral:rRNA from 1 species
CAGCAGCCGCGGCAAUACGUAGGGGGCGAGCGUUGUCCGGAAUUAUUGGGCGUAAAGGGCGUGUAGGCGGCUUCUUAAGUCCGGUGUGAAAGCCCGCGGCUCAACCGUGGAGGGUCACUGGAAACUGGGGGGCUUGAGAGCAGGAGAGGAGAGCGGAAUUCCACGUGUAGCGGUGAAAUGCGUAGAGAUGUGGAGGAACACCAGUGGCGAAGGCGGCUCUCUGGCCUGGCUCUGACGCUGAGGCGCGAAAGCGUGGGGAGCAAACAGGAUUAGAUACCCUGGUAGUCCACGCUGUAAACGAUGAGUGCUAGGUGUUAGUGGGGCUACCCAUUUGUGCCGAAGGAAACCCAAUAAGCACUCCGCCUGGGGAGUACGGCCGCAAGGCUGAAACUUAAAGGAAUUGGCGGG